rnacentral:rRNA from 1 species
AGGCUACCGCUAUUGGAGUUCGAUUAAGCCAUGCGAGUCGCGAGUCUUAGGGACUCGGCGUACCGCUCAGUAACACGUGGGUAACCUGCCCUAUGCUGGGGGAUAACCUCGGGAAACUGAGAAUAAUACCCCAUAGUUCACCAUGCCUGGAACGGUGGGUGGACCAAAUGCUCCGGCGGCAUAGGAUGGGCCUGCGGCGUAUCAGGUUGUAGGGGGUGUAAUGUACCCUCUAGCCCUCUACGCGUACGGGUGUUGAGAGACAUCGCCCGGAGAUGGAUUCUGAGACACGAAUCCAGACCCUACGGGGUGCAGCAGGCGCGAAAACUUGGCAAUGCGAGAAAUCGUGACCAGGGAACUCCAAGUGCAUCGGGUAAGACCGAUGCUUUUCUUGACUCUUCAAAGGUCUUGGAAUAAGGGGUGGGUAAGGACCGGUGCCAGCCGCCGCGGUAAUACCGGCGCCCCAAGUGGUAGUCGCUUUUAUUGGGCCUAAAACGUCCGUAGCCGGUCUGGUACAUUCGUGGGUAAAUCAACCAGCUCAACUGGUUGAAUUCUGCGAGCACGGCCAGACUUGGGGACCGGGAGAGGUGUGGGGUACUCUCAGGGUAGGGGUAAAAUCCUGUCAUCCUGAGAGGAACCACCUGUUGCGAAGGCGCCACACUAGAACGGAUCCGGCGGUCAGGGACGAAGCCUAGGGGCACGAACCGGAUUAGAUACCCGGGUAGUCCUAGGUGUAAACGCUGUGGACUUGAUGUUGGGGGCGCUCCGAGCGCACUCAGUGUCGAAGCGAAGGUGAUAAGUCCACUGCCUGGGGAGUACGGUCGCAAGGCUGAAACUUAAAGGAAUUGGCGGGGGAGCACCGCAACCUGAGGAUUGUGCGGUUU